CUGUACUGAUGAGAUUUAACACGAAGUGAGUGCGAACGGGUGAGUAACACGUGGGUAACCUGCCCAGAAGUAGGGGAUAACACCUGGAAACAGAUGCUAAUACCGUAUAAUAGAGAAAACCGCAUGGUUUUCUUUUAAAAGAUGGCUCUGCUAUCACUUCUGGAUGGACCCGCGGCGUAUUAGCUAGUUGGUGAGGUAAAGGCUCACCAAGGCAGUGAUACGUAGCCGACCUGAGAGGGUAAUCGGCCACAUUGGGACUGAGACACGGCCCAGACUCCUACGGGAGGCAGCAGUAGGGAAUCUUCCACAAUGGACGCAAGUCUGAUGGAGCAACGCCGCGUGAGUGAAGAAGGGUUUCGGCUCGUAAAGCUCUGUUGUUAAAGAAGAACGUGGGUAAGAGUAACUGUUUACCCAGUGACGGUAUUUAACCAGAAAGCCACGGCUAACUACGUGCCAGCAGCCGCGGUAAUACGUAGGUGGCAAGCGUUAUCCGGAUUUAUUGGGCGUAAAGCGAGCGCAGGCGGUCUUUUAAGUCUAAUGUGAAAGCCUUCGGCUCAACCGAAGAAGUGCAUUGGAAACUGGGAGACUUGAGUGCAGAAGAGGACAGUGGAACUCCAUGUGUAGCGGUGAAAUGCGUAGAUAUAUGGAAGAACACCAGUGGCGAAGGCGGCUGUCUGGUCUGCAACUGACGCUGAGGCUCGAAAGCAUGGGUAGCGAACAGGAUUAGAUACCCUGGUAGUCCAUGCCGUAAACGAUGAUUACUAAGUGUUGGAGGGUUUCCGCCCUUCAGUGCUGCAGCUAACGCAUUAAGUAAUCCGCCUGGGGAGUACGACCGCAAGGUUGAAACUCAAAAGAAUUGACGGGGGCCCGCACAAGCGGUGGAGCAUGUGGUUUAAUUCGAAGCUACGCGAAGAACCUUACCAGGUCUUGACAUCUUCUGACAGUCUAAGAGAUUAGAGGUUCCCUUCGGGGACAGAAUGACAGGUGGUGCAUGGUGUCGUCA
rnacentral:rRNA from 1 species